ensembl:lncRNA
UGCCCUGGUGCUCCGGCUGACGCCAGUGUUUUUUCUGCCCCUUUUAAAACUGAGCUGGAGUGUUCCUGACUCCUCCAUUCGACACCUCUGGCUCCCUUAUUCCCCUCGGUUUACAUGAGUUCAAGGGGAGAAGUUCAUCAAAGAGAAAUCCACAGAGAUUAAGAACAUAGUGACUGCAGUAUUUGCAAGAAGUUGCUGAGCAAAAAUUGUUGGAAGAGGACACAAGUGGAAAGCAUCGCAUACUUCUGCUGAAUUUUAUUCCUCCUUGAGUACCUAUUCUGGCUGCUGAUGGAGACAAGAUACUGAAUUAUGAACUUUCAGCCUGCCUUGGUAACAGAUGCUCAUUGUGACGUGAACGUAAUUUCAGUACCUGCAUAGGAGAAAUGACGACCGGAGCCACCCGAGCUUAAAGACAUAUUGAUUGUGAUCUGGUAGCUAGAAGAUGACAAGUUGCCUGAUGGUGAAGGUCAACCACACAGUCAUCUGCUGAAGGUCAACUGCUGGCACACAGACCUCUCAGGUUGGAUUUGGGGUUUGAAAGCCAGCACACCAAGUUCCCGUUCGUGUUACAGAUGUUGCAUUGACUCCAAGUUGGCAUGAACAGCAAUAUGAGCUUGUACACAAGACCCUGGUUUGACAGAAAGGUUUGCACAGGUUUCAGAAGCACUUCUGAAAACAGAAACGUUCUUCUUGAAAAACUGUAUGUAUCACUCCACAAAAAGUACAACCAAUCUAUUAAGUGAUCCAAGUAAGACUGCAAGACAGCCUGAGUGUCCAGUGUGCACCAUCGCUGCAAGAGCAGAGAGGCAAGGUUGCUAUCAUGCAGUGGCAACAAUUGUCCUCUGUUUAAUGCCUAUUUUUACUCUUCAUGUCUCUACUUUUCCUGGCAUGCAAAGAGCUGGAACUAAAGGCACCGCACCCUGGAGUGAUGGGGGAUGUUAUGGCAGGAGUGCAGUGCCAUGCUUAAGGUUAGAUCUUAGUCUCCCCUUGAUUUGCAUCACAGGAAUUUUAUGACCGACUUUGUCAUAUGAAUACCUAAAGCUCUGGGCCAAGAGACAGGUUUGGAUUUUUUUUUUCCACUUUUGGAGCCCAUUAGUGAGCAGCCAGUGGUGGAGACAGGAAGCAGCUGUUCUAUAAAGGUCAUACUGGUGGGCUACAUAAAUUUCCUUUUGCAGAAUACUGGUGGAAUAAUUUAAAGACCCUGAGACACCCAAAUGGUGAUACCAUGGCCAAACAAUCAGGGACGUUUUCAGUACUGCACACCUUCUAUGCUCUUGGAAAGCUAUGCCCCAUCUACCUUGCAGACUGGGCCUCCAGUUCAAGUGGGAGUAGACUAAGGUGUGGCAGAUGAGAGGGUUAAGGGUACCUAGCAGAAACACUGGAUAUCCACUGCUUCCAACCAAGCCAGUGACUUGAGAGCUUCCCAACAACAAUAUUGAUUCUUCUAGGUUGCUGAACUUCUGCAGCCAAAUUCAUAGCUCACCCAUCCAGCCCAGAGGAUUGAUGUCUUCACAGCAACUAGCUCAUUUUGAGCAAAGUUCCUUGAGGGAUUUUUAUUAUUGUUGUUUUUUACAACUGUCUGUCCUAGAAUAUAUAAAAGCUAAGAUAAUUAAUGGGUAUCCCUGGAAAGGCACAUGUUCCUGGAAAUCCUCUUCUACCUUCAUGAAUUCCAUUGCUCACUGUAGGUUUUGCCUUAGGAAUGGAAACUAGCAAUGAAAAUCACAACCAAAAUACCACUUUUCUGGUAUACCAACACACUCCUGAAGGUCUUGCUCAAGGCACUAUUAAUCUUGUUCUUAUAAAUGAUGUGCAUGUUGGCAUCAUGGACACAUUGACUUUCUUGAAGUCUUCAGUGUCCAAUCACAGAACUUUUCUCCACUUACGUGCAAAACCAUUUUGAUUCCACACAGUCUAGUACUACCAGUUUGCUAGUGAUUAUUCAUCCCUAAUUUCUGUGUUAAAAUCUCCAAGAGAAGAAAAAUUCUGGAAGGAAUAGGAAAAAUACUGCGUUAGAAGCUCUAACAAAGCAGAUAUAGAGCAAGAGGAAGAAGUGAAGAAGGUGAAGUAUUGGAAGAGACUGCCCAGGGAGGUGAUGGAGUCCCUGUCUCUGGAGGCAUUCAGGAAAUGUGGAGAUAUGACACUGAGGGACGUGGUUCGGUGGGG